UGGGGAAUAUUGCACAAUGGGCGCAAGCCUGAUGCAGCCAUGCCGCGUGUGUGAAGAAGGCCUUCGGGUUGUAAAGCACUUUCAGCGAGGAGGAAGGUGGUGAACUUAAUACGUUCAUCAAUUGACGUUACUCGCAGAAGAAGCACCGGCUAACUCCGUGCCAGCAGCCGCGGUAAUACGGAGGGUGCAAGCGUUAAUCGGAAUUACUGGGCGUAAAGCGCACGCAGGCGGUUUGUUAAGUCAGAUGUGAAAUCCCCGGGCUCAACCUGGGAACUGCAUUUGAAACUGGCAAGCUAGAGUCUCGUAGAGGGGGGUAGAAUUCCAGGUGUAGCGGUGAAAUGCGUAGAGAUCUGGAGGAAUACCGGUGGCGAAGGCGGCCCCCCUGGACGAAGACUGACGCUCAGGUGCGAAAGCGUGGGGAGCAAACAGGGUUAGAUACCCUGGUAGUCCAGCGCUGUAAACGAUGUCGUUUGGAGGUUGUGCCCUUGAGGCGUGGCUUCCGGAGCUAACGCGUUAAAUCGACCGCC
rnacentral:rRNA from 1 species